GGUCUAUACAACAUUUUCUUUCUUUCUUUUUUACUGCACAAAAAAUAUACAUUAUUGAUUAUACAACUCUCUAACCUCUAACCAGUUCCCCAAAAAUUAAACUCAAUUAACUUCUAACACUAAUCACAAACUGCUACUAACCAACAAUGAAUCACCAUAGUAAUCUUCGAUACCAGAAGCCGCCCACAAUCGUUCAUUAAUCGAAUCCUGUAAAUCAUCAGGUACAAACGUUGUCCGACAAAGCGGACAAGUUUUCUGAUCAUGAUCCAUCCAACGGUCCAGACAGCACUGCUCGCGAAUCAGGACAGCGGAUAUUGAGUGGAAAUGCGUAACAUGUUCGUUUCGGGUCUGGUCGGUUGAGAUAUCAGGUUCGAGGAAAGCGCCGAGACCGACGAAUCGGAAGAUGGAGGAGAUGAGUUUACGGAUGAGACCCAGAAGGGUUAGGAGGUGUAGAAAGAGUUUGGGGAGGUGUAGAUCGGUGUAACCAACAGGGAAACCCAUACUUGUUGGAUUUCAGAGAUUUUAGUU
rnacentral:lncRNA from 1 species